CCCGCUGAACUUAAGCAUAUCACUAAGCGGAGGAAAAGAAACUAACAAGGAUUGCCUUAGUAACUGCGACUGAACAGGAAUUCGCACAACACAGAAGCCUGCGGUUAAUUGAUCGUGAGGCAAUGUGGCGUUUAGGUUGGCUUCAGGCUUUACUUCUCUGUCCUAAGUCCAGCAAUGAGUACGGCUGUAGCAAGCCCAUUCAACUACUGUAUUUUUUGUGUGCUCUCUGUAAUCCUAAUAUUUAACCCACUGUAAAUUUAUGUGUGAGUCUGAUUGAGCGCAUGUCUGCACAUCAAUCCUUAAUCUGUUCUCUCAUUGGUUGUAAACAAAGACAAUCAAUAAUUUAUCCACAAUCCAUUAACACUAAUAAAUAUAUAUGGAUUUUUGAACACUCACACACACACUCACUUGUUUUCCCGGUGUGCUUGCUAUCUGUACGCUUGCGGAUUUUACCGAGCUUCAACAAUAAACUAUCUCUAUAACUGAUGUUCAGGCUUUUGAAUAAAUCUCGAGUAAACCCGUAAUUCUACUAGGAGAUUUAGCCUGCAGUAAAUAUUCAGUUAGCGGGAUAUUAUUUAUUUAUUGGAGUCAGAUAUAGAGGAAAUAAUCCUCUACAAAAUUGGUGAGCCGCAUUUUGAACACGCACCAUUAUUCUACAAAGUUGGUGAGCCCGACGUGAUCCUAACACGCAGCCUUCUGAUCUGGAGUCAGAUAUAGAGGAAUUAAUCCUCUACACGGCUUCCCAUUAUGGCCCAAAGAGGGUGAAAGACCCGUGGGGGCAGAGAUCAAGUGUGAUAGCUCUGCUCUGUGCUACCCUUGGAGUCGGGUUGUUUGUGAAUGCAGCCCAAAGUGGGUGGUAAACUCCAUCCAAGGCUAAAUACUUACACGAGUCUGAUAGCAAACAAGUACCGUGAGGGAAAGUUGAAAAGUACUUUAAAGAGAGAGUAAACGGUGUGUGAAACCGUUCAAAGGUAAACGGGUGGAGUUAACUCAUGACAAGCGAAUUUCGUUCUCCCAACUGCCUACUAACAAAAUAUUUAGUAGCAUAAACAGUUUGUGUGAGUCAAACUAUUCCACUCCUGAAAUUGUGUGUAGAAUAUAAGUUUAACAAUUAAUUUUGUAUAUUAGGCUUGAGGUAAAUCUGUUUGUGUGACAGCGGUAACACAAAAGCAAUAAAGAAUAAAGUUAGAUAAAUUUAUUUUAGGUAUUCACUUUCUCCAAUCGACAGGAAG
rnacentral:ncRNA from 1 species